rnacentral:rRNA from 1 species
UACAGAGGAUGCAAGCGUUAUCCGGAAUUAUUGGGCGUAAGGCGUCUGUAGGUGGCUUUUUAAGUCCGCCGUCAAAUCCCAGGGCUCAACUCUGGACAGGCGGUGGAAACUACCAAGCUGGAGUACGGUAGGGGCAGAGGGAAUUUCCGGUGGAGCGGUGAAAUGCGUAGAGAUCGGAAAGAACACCAGCGGCGAAAGCACUCUGCUGGGCCGACACUGACGCUGAGAGACGAAAGCUAGGGGAGCGAAUGGG